UAUUAACCAAAUUCGACACUCUUUGACCUCCAUACAAAAAUCGCCACCUGCUGGAGAAGACAGAUUUUGGGCCCAAUUAUCCCUCUGAUAAACCACGACUCGGCCCCGUGGGAAUGAGGGUCGCCGUUUACGGUGAAGUUGGACACAGUGUAAUUGCUACAAGGUUAAUCUCAAAACGGAUACAUCUAAUCAGGGAUAUGUGGAUGUCAUUGCCAAUAGGAGAAACACUUCACAAGCCGGACAAACCCCAUUCCAGGACCUGAGCGACCUAUUGUUAUCCUUAGAGGACUCGGUGAGUGACCAACCCAAUGACGUCAUCAACAAAAAGCUGGAGAGGGAUGACCCACCACCAGAGGGCUUUCGAGGGGGUGGGGGGAGCAGGUUCUCCCUCCACCUGCUGCAGCUACCAGCCAACCUCCAGCCCUGAGCUGGACUCAGACAUAGUCAGUUGAGUCCACAUCACAGAGGAGCUCACAGAGCGCGGCCCUGAGCCGACUGGCUGUCAUAGAGAACCGCAUCCGAAAUCGUCAACAGGCCAGGGAUGGACCAGCGCUGUUGGCUGAUAGGCGUAUACCAACAGCCCCCCAGGAGAAGGAGAAGCCCCUGCCUGCCCAGUCCAGCAGUGACCUCAGCAUGAAGGGGAAACGCUUCCUGAAGAAGAGAGUGCAUGUAUCACCUGCUGUAGCGUCUAAGGAGAAAGGCCUGGAUCUUGAUGCCACGCCAUAGGGUAGUUCCAAACCCGGUACUCCAAUAAGGGUGGCCGGUAGAGGUGUGACUCUGGACAGCGAUGAGGAGGAUAUGAGGAAACUCCUGGUGGGCUCUUUUGAGUCGUCAGAGUAUAGCCUGCACAAAGAAGCAAGAUAAUCUUCACAGAUGACAACUAGAAAGUUGUUCAUCCAAAGCAGCCAGGUUUCCCCCUCACCUCCACUGGCAGACCGAUCAUCUUCAGUCAGAGCCCAGUCCCGCUCUCCACCCUCUCCUCCGUGCAGCGGAUCACCCAGUCGCUUCUCCAGCCGAGCCCUGGACCAGCGCAGUCCUUUUCUCUCCAUCCGCAGUGCCUCAGUAGUCCUCCCUCCAUCACCCUAUCCUCCCUACGCCCCCUCCCCAGGCAGUCAGGGAUCCCCACGGGCCAGGCACCUCAAACCCUCCGGUCCUCAGUGUCACCCCUCAGUGAGAUGUGCUCCCUGGUGGAGCUCUUCCCUGAGGCCCUGGACGUUUUGGCAGAGCUCUUCUCUGAGGACCUGCCAUCAGUGAGAGAAGUGGAGUCUCUGAUGAAUUCAACAUUAAUAUUAUGCCACUGGACGACCUCGCACCGGUCACGCUUGGAAUGUCGGAGAAAAAAAAAGAAAAAAGUGUGUGAUAAUGACAGCCAGUGGUACUGGAGGUGUGAGGAGAGGAUCCCAUCAGAAGAGCCCAGGGAGGACUACAAGAGUGACUGAGAGUGAGAUCAAGACUGAAACAGACCGGAGUAGUGUCAGCGAGAUCUCCGAGCACCUGGGAGACAGAGACGGGGACAAAGAUGCGUUGGGAGGUCAGCGAGGUCAUGGACUACAGCGUCUCAGACACAUCUUGGAGCGACAAGUACUCCAGUGUCUCAGAGAAGGACAAUCAGUCCCACAUCAACCACAGACUACAGUAAAAUGGCUGAUUAAUUCCGUGGCAGCAGGGCUUUCUAUUCCAGGUCAUCUCGCUCCCACUCUGUGGCUGAAACUAUCAUGCCGUCUCAAGUUUUGAAGAGACGCUCGCCCAGGUGUGUGAGAGAGGCCCCAGUGCAGACCCAACCAGACUGACUGGCCUUCACCUUGUCCGAGAUGCAGACCCAACCAGACGGACUGGCCUUCACCUUGUCCGAGAUGCAGACCCAACCAGACGGACUGGCCUUCACCUUGUCCGAGAUGCAGACCCAACCAGACUGACUGGCCUUCACCUUGUCCGAGAUGCAGACCCAACCAGAUGGACUGGCCUUCACCUUGUCCGAGAUGCAGACCCAACCAGACGGACUGGCCUUCACCUUGUCUGAGAUGCAGACCCAACCAGACUGGCCUUCACCUGGUCCACCGGUUUGUCCACUAACCCUCAGUGCAUACAGCCCUGCUGUGUUUGCACUCAACAUGCUGAGGCAGCAGCUGGCUCUCACCAGACACUUUGUCCAGACCAGCCGCCACCUCCACUCCUACAGUCCCUGCAGACUACACAUACACCACCCUGGAGGACACCAAGGAGGUAGGCUACUCUAAUGCCCAAUCAUAAAUUAAUCGCUACACACUCGUGUAGUACUGAAGGAAUAAUUGAUAGUCAAACGCCGCUCCUUGUCACUCUUAUCUGAGGGACUGUCGACCAUAUUUGCUGUGGACCCAAUUGCAAUUCACACUUCUGUGCAUUUGUAGUCAUCAUGAUCCAAGACAAAAAUUGACAUUUUCAGAGUUUUUCCACCUUUCCUGAAUUGACUAGAUUUGUAGUGGGAUUGAAUCUUGGAGGAGAUUCUUCAGGAAAUGAUGGAGCUCCACUACAUCUGACACUGAGAAUAUAUGGUACUUUACCAUUCUCUAUUAAAAAACAUUUAAUGUAUUGGGGCUUGGGAAAUUACCUAUCAUCAAAAAGGACAAUCUAUUCAAAUGUGUCAUACUUUCUAUAGACGUAUCAGUGGAGACCCGUUUUGAGCCCCCCUAUUUUGCAUGUUAUUUUGGCAUUAAUAGUGUCUCACAUAUGUUUGCAAACAAUGUAAAAAAAAAAAUAUAUAUAUAUAUAUAUAUAUAUCAUUGAGUUAAUAAAGACACAUA